rnacentral:rRNA from 1 species
UACGAGAGGCCCAAACGUUAUUCGGAUUUACUGGGCUUAAAGAGUUCGUAGGCGGCGCAGAAAGUAGGGUGUGAAAGCCCUCGGCUCAACCGAGGAAUUGCGCCCUAAACUACUGUGCUCGAGGAAGCUAGAGGUGAGCAGAACAGAUGGUGGAGCGGUGAAAUGCGUAGAUAUCUGGAAGAACACCGGUGGCGCAAGCGGAUUGCUGGGCCAUAACUGACACUGAGGAACGAAAGCUAGGGGAGCGAAUGGG